UGAUUUAAAAAUACCAAAUUGGUUUAAACGGUGGUGGCAGUUUAAAAGUCUCUCUUAGGAAAUCAUUCCUUCUGAGAUCAUUUCUUUAUGAAAGCUCUGGUAUCAGAGCCUAGUUGCGAAGAAUUUAUCCAGAUCACAGUGAAACCCCAAGUCGCGUAACUGUAAGUGCCAUUGAAGCCGUGAGUUAAGGCGUGUUAGGCCAAGUGUAAAUCGUUGACAGUGAUCUGAGAGAUGGAUAAAUUAUUUAGUAACCUGUCUCGAAGUGCUAGUUCUAGCUCUAUGGAGAGAACUCUCAGAAAAAAUAAAAAUAAAGAAAUAAUCUUAGCAGAAAACUUAGAUGCUAGUUUAAGUAAUUG
rnacentral:lncRNA from 1 species